rnacentral:rRNA from 1 species
GAUGAACGCUAGCGGGAGGCCUAACACAUGCAAGCCGAGCGGUAUUUGUUCUUCGGAACAGAGAGAGCGGCGUACGGGUGCGGAACACGUGUGCAACCUACCUUUAUCAGGGGGAUAGCCUUUCGAAAGGAAGAUUAAUACCCCAUAAUAUAUUGACUGGCAUCAGUUAGUAUUGAAAACUCCGGUGGAUAGAGAUGGGCACGCGCAAGAUUAGAUAGUUGGUAGGGUAACGGCCUACCAAGUCAGUGAUCUUUAGGGGGCCUGAGAGGGUGAUCCCCCACACUGGUACUGAGACACGGACCAGACUCCUACGGGAGGCAGCAGUGAGGAAUAUUGGACAAUGGGUGAAAGCCUGAUCCAGCCAUCCCGCGUGAAGGACGACGGUUCUAUGGAUUGUAAACUUCUUUUAUAUAGGGAUAAACCUCUUUACGUGUAAAGAGCUGAAGGUACUAUAUGAAUAAGCACCGGCUAACUCCGUGCCAGCAGCCGCGGUAAUACGGAGGGUGCAAGCGUUAUCCGGAUUUAUUGGGUUUAAAGGGUCCGUAGGCGGAUCUGUAAGUCAGUGGUGAAAUCUCAUAGCUUAACUAUGAAACUGCCAUUGAUACUGCAGGUCUUGAGUAAAGUAGAAGUGGCUGGAAUAAGUAGUGUAGCGGUGAAAUGCAUAGAUAUUACUUAGAACACCAACUGCGAAGGCAGGUCACUAUGUUUUAACUGACGCUGAUGGACGAAAGCGUGGGGAGCGGACAGGAUUAGAUACCCUGGUAGUCCACGCCGUAAACGAUGCUAACUCGUUUUUGGGACUUCGGUUUCAGAGACUAAGCGAAAGUGAUAAGUUAGCCACCUGGGGAGUACGUUCGCAAGAAUGAAACUCAAAGGAAUUGACGGGGGCUCGCACAAGCGGUGGAUUAUGUGGUUUAAUUCGAUGAUACGCGAGGAACCUUACCAAGGCUUAAAUGGGAAUUGACAGGUUUAGAAAUAGACUUUUCUUCGGACAAUUUUCAAGGUGCUGCAUGGUUGUCGUCAGCUCGUGCCGUGAGGUGUUAGGUUAAGUCCUGCAACGAGCGCAACCCCUGUCACUAGUUGCCAUCAUUCAGUUGGGGACUCUAGUGAGACUGCCUACGCAAGUAGAGAGGAAGGUGGGGAUGACGUCAAAUCAUCACGGCCCUUACGCCUUGGGCCACACACGUAAUACAAUGGCCAGUACAGAGGGCAGCUACCUAGCGAUAGGAUGCGAAUCUCGAAAGCUGAUCUCAGUUCGGAUUGGAGUCUGCAACUCGACUCUAUGAAGCUGGAAUCGCUAGUAAUCGCGCAUCAGCCAUGGCGCGGUGAAUACGUUCCCGGGCCU